GAAAAAUCUUGGGGUUUUUUUUGGACAUUAUUAAAGCCAAUCAAGCUCAAACUUGGUUCAAAUUGAUCAUCCAACAAAUAUCUAAUAUAUUUUCUGACAUUAUUCAGCAAAUAAUUUUCUGAUAUUAUUCAGGCUGGAUAUCCUUUGUAUGAA